UACGAGGGGGGCGAGCGUUGUUCGGAAUUAUUGGGCGUAAAGGGUGCGUAGGCGGUUUGGUAAGUCUGACGUGAAAUCUAUGGGCUCAACUCAUAGUCUGCAUCGGAAACUGCCGGGCUUGAGUGUGGGAGAGGUGAGUGGAAUUCCCGGUGUAGCGGUGAAAUGCGCAGAUAUCAGGAGGAACACCGAUGGCGAAGGCAGGUCUCUGGGCCACUACUGACGCUGAGGCGCGAAAGCGUGGGGAGCGAACGGG
rnacentral:rRNA from 1 species